rnacentral:rRNA from 1 species
GUGGGGAAUAUUGGACAAUGGGGGGAACCCUGAUCCAGCCAUGCCGCGUGUGUGAAGAAGGCCUUUUGGUUGUAAGCACUUUAAGCGAGGAGGAGGCUACCGAGAUUAAUACUCUUGUAUAGUGGACGUUACUCGCAGAAUAAGCACCGGCUAACUCUGUGCCAGCAGCCGCGGUAAUACAGAGGGUGCAAGCGUUAAUCGGAUUUACUGGGCGUAAAGCGCGCGUAGGUGGCCAAUUAAGUCAAAUGUGAAAUCCCCGAGCUUAACUUGGGAAUUGCAUUCGAUACUGGUUGGCUAGAGUAUGGGAGAGGAUGGUAGAAUUCCAGGUGUAGCGGUGAAAUGCGUAGAGAUCUGGAGGAAUACCGAUGGCGAAGGCAGCCAUCUGGCCUAAUACUGACACUGAGGUGCGAAAGCAUGGGGAGCAAACAGGAUUAGAAACCCUGUAGUCC